rfam:Ornithorhynchus anatinus chromosome 2, whole genome shotgun sequence.
AGCAGCGUGGCUCAAUGGCAAGAGCCCGGGCUUGGGAGUCAGAGAUCAUGGGUUCGAAUCCCCACUCUGCCA